UACAGAGGCCCCAAGCAUUAUCCGGAAUCACUGGGCGUAAAGGGUGUCGAGGCGGUCAUGUUAGUCGUUUGUAAAAUCCGUGGGCUCAACCUACGGCUCGCAAGCGAAACGGCAUGACUUGAGGGCAGGAGAGGUGCGUGGAACUCACGGUGUAGGGGUGAAAUCCGUUGAUAUCGUGGGGAACACCAAAGGCGAAGGCAGCGCACUGGCCUGUUUCUGACGCUCACACACGAAAGCUAGGGUAGCGAACGGG
rnacentral:misc_RNA from 1 species